rnacentral:snoRNA from 1 species
CCUGGCGGUGACGACACACUUGCCCUCACUGAGAACAGCCUUCUCUGCUGAAAGUGUUCUCACGCGCUCGAGUGGAACUGAGCCAGA